rnacentral:rRNA from 1 species
CCUACGGGUGGCUGCAGUAAGGAAUUUUCCACAAUGGACGAAAGUCUGAUGGAGCUACGCCGCGUGCGGGAUGACGCCUUUCGGGGUGUAAACCGCUUUUCAUGGGGACGAACACAAUGACGGUACCCAUGGAAUAAGGAUCGGCUAACUACGUGCCAGCAGCCGCGGUAAGACGUAGGAUCCGAGCGUUGUCCGGAGUUACUGGGCGUAAAGCGAGCGCAGGCGGUUUUGUACAUCGGCGGUGAAAGCCCCCCGCUCAACGGGGGAGGGUCCGUCGAGAUGGCAAGACUGGAGGCUGGGAGAGGUCGGUGGAAUUCCGGGUGUAGUGGUGAAAUGCGUAGAUAUCCGGAGGAACACCAGUGGCGAAGGCGGCCGACUGGACCAGACCUGACGCUAAGGCUCGAAAGCGUGGGGAGCGAACGGGAUUAGAUACCCCUGUAGUC